UGUCAGAGCCGGGCCGCGCGACCGCGGCGCAGAGGGCUGAGCGGUGGCCGCGCCGCAGCGGAGUCCGAAGUGCAGCGACAGCCGGUCGGCCGGGCCGGGAUGGUGCAGCGGCGGCUCCGCGGCGCGCGCGCGCACUGAGUGGGCCCAGGCUGGGCCCGGCGCCCCCCGCGCCCCCCGCCGCCCCGAUCCCGGCCGGCAUGAUGUGCCUGGAAUGCGCCUCGGCGGCGGCGGGCGGCGCGGAGGAGGAGGAGGCGGACGCGGAGCGGCGGCGCCGGCGCCGGGGGGCGCAGCUCGGGACCGGCGGUGGCGGCUGCUGCGGGGCUCGGGGUGCGGGCGCCUCUGGAGCCUCGGCCGUGGACGCUGAGGUGCAGACGCUGUCGGGCAGCGUGAGGCGGGCCCCGUCCGCACCCGCCAGCGCCCCCAGCACUCCCGGCUGCGCAGCUACUGCCAAAGGCCCCGGCGCGCAGCAGCCCAAACCCGCCAGCUUGGGCGGCGGGCGAGGGGCGGCCGCCGCCAUCCUCAGCCUGGGCAACGUGCUCAAUUACCUGGACAGGUACACCGUAGCAGGUGUCCUUCUGGACAUCCAGCAGCACUUCGGGGUGAAGGACCGAGGCGCCGGCUUGCUGCAGUCAGUGUUCAUCUGCAGCUUCAUGGUGGCUGCCCCCAUCUUUGGCUACCUGGGGGACCGCUUCAACAGGAAGGUCAUCCUGAGCUGCGGCAUCUUCUUCUGGUCGGCUGUCACCUUUUCCAGCUCCUUCAUCCCCCAGCAGCAUUUCUGGCUGCUGGUCCUGUCCCGGGGACUGGUGGGCAUCGGCGAGGCCAGCUACUCCACCAUCGCACCCACCAUCAUCGGCGACCUCUUCACCAAGAACACGCGCACGCUCAUGCUGUCGGUCUUCUACUUCGCCAUCCCGCUGGGCAGCGGCCUGGGCUACAUCACGGGCUCCAGCGUGAAGCAGGCAGUUGGAGACUGGCACUGGGCCUUACGGGUGUCUCCUAUCCUGGGCAUGAUCACAGGAACUCUCAUCCUUGUCCUGGUCCCGGCCACUAAGAGAGGCCAUGCUGACCAGCUCGGGGGGCAGCUCAAGGCCCGGACCUCAUGGCUUCGAGACAUGAAGGCCCUGAUCCGCAACCGCAGCUACGUCUUCUCCUCCCUGGCCACGUCAGCAGUGUCCUUCGCCACGGGGGCCCUGGGCAUGUGGAUUCCUCUCUACCUGCACCGCGCUCAGGUCGUGCAGAAGACGGUGGAGACCUGCAGCAGCCCGCCCUGCGGGGCCAAGGACAGCCUCAUCUUUGGGGCCAUCACCUGCUUCACAGGCUUCCUGGGUGUAGUCACGGGGGCAGGAGCCACACGUUGGUGCCGCCUGAGGACACAGCGGGCCGACCCCCUGGUGUGCGCGGUGGGCAUGCUGGGCUCCGCCAUCUUCAUCUGCCUCAUCUUCGUGGCCGCCAAGAGCAGCAUCGUUGGGGCCUAUGUCUGUAUCUUUGUCGGGGAGACGCUUCUGUUCUCUAACUGGGCCAUCACCGCCGACAUCCUCAUGUAUGUGGUCAUUCCCACGAGACGGGCCACCGCGGUGGCUCUGCAGAGCUUCACCUCCCACCUGCUGGGGGACGCCGGAAGCCCCUACCUCAUUGGCUUCAUCUCCGACGUGAUCCGCCAGAGCACCAAGGACUCCCCGCUCUGGGAGUUCCUGAGCCUGGGCUACGCGCUCAUGCUGUGCCCCUUCGUGGUGGUGCUGGGCGGCAUGUUCUUCCUGGCCACGGCGCUCUUCUUCCUCAGCGACCGCGCCAAGGCGGAGCAGCAGUCCCUGCCCAGCACUUCCGGUCAGCUGGCCCCUGCGAUGCGAUGUGCCAGAGCCGUGCCCGGGCCCGGCCCCCGGUGAUCCGCCACCUUGACCCCCGUCCGUCUCUCCCCCAGGGUGAACCAGCUGGUGAUACCACCCACCUCCGUGAAAGUCUAAGGAGGUGCCGCUGGGACCAUGAAGAACCCGCUCUGCUGCCCAGGCUGGGAGGUGCCCGGCAGCUGGCCAGUCCUGCUGGGCUAUGCCAGAGCUUCCUGUGUGACCCACGGCUGGGCACUCACCCACUCUGGUCUGGGACUGCCGAGUGGCCGUGGCUCCAAGAGGCUGUGUCCUCAGCUAACCUGGCAGACAGCGUGCUCUGGAGCCGCACAGUUGGACAGAUGCCCAGCCCUGGGUUGGGGCCACUGAGCCCCUGGGGCCCCCAGAGAAGGCAGCUCCCAGUGGGCGUGCCAGAAGAGCCUGGCCUGUCACUGGCCUAUGCGAUUUUGGGCAAGUCCCUGGCCUCCUCAGAAAGCGAGGGCAGGGGGCCACGCUUUCCCGGGCAGCGUGCCGGCCAGGACACUCUGUGCGGCUUCGAAGAACCCACAGCUCCUGCACCGUACAGAGAUGGGGCCACCCCGGCCUCUGGGUGGCACCUCAGGCUCUGAGGCUCCCUCCGGGGCUGUGCGUGCUCAGGGCUGUCGCUCAGUCCUGCCACUAGGAGCCUGUUUCAACAGAGGCCUGGCUCUGCCUGGAGGUCCCCCGGGUGGGGACCGACCCGACAGAAGUGGCAUCGCCAGGGGUGAAGGCCCUGGUGGCAGCUUUGGUCUGCCUGUGCCCUGGUUUGCCAUCUGCGGUAUCCCCCUACAGAAGCAGAAAUGUUGCCGCUGCCGCAGGCUGGGCUUUCCCAGAACCAUUGAGGUAGUGGCCAGGCAACCCGCGCUUCCUGUCCAGAAUAGCCGGGAGAGGUAGCGGCCCCGCAGGCCGACUCCGAGCCCACCCAUCCAAUGACAGCUGCUCUUGCGCCCCAGCCCUGCCCUCCAGCGCACCCUCUGCUCACCAACACCCCACUCUCCGCUUCACCAGGGAGGGGGCCCACCCGAGCCUCCAGGCCUCCUCGACGGAGCUUCUGCUCUCUGCCCCACAGCCCUCUCUGUGCGCUGGCUGGAAUGAGGUGUCCGGUCUGGGGGUCCCAUGUAACCCGCAGGAGACCCUAGGAGCCAGCUUAGACAACGCUCUUUGCCCUGUAGUUACUGGCUGGCGUGGCUUCAGUGGCGCGUAAGCUAAUGGAAUGCCCACUCCCCACCAAGUGCUGGGGCACCCUGGGGGGCCUAACAAGGGGUGUGCUCCCCGGAAGACCAGCCUGGCCUCUACUCCCACCCCAGCCUCACAGGGCCCCAGCGAUGUUUUCUUGUUGUACAAGAACCAGGUCCAAGUGUUGCCUCCUCUUCCUUCCGGAAGCCAAACUGCUCCUUUAUUUUUUAGAGCUGCUGAUUGUGAAUCUCAGAGUCUUAAGAGAAGCCAAAUAUAUUCCUUGUAAAUGAAGAAAUAAACCUAUUUAAAUCAUG